rnacentral:tRNA from 1 species
GGGGGUGUGUCGGAACUGGCAGACGAGCAUGGCUUAGGACCAUGUGAGCGCAAGCUCGUGAGAGUUCGAGUCUCUCCAUCCCCA